AAGACAGAUAAAUAGUUUGGCAAAUGUCACUUUUUCCUUUCAGUUGACCAAAGCUUGAUGAAAAACAUCUGCACAACUUUGCCUCAGGAAGUUGAGAUCCUUAAGAAAAUCCACGAGCAAACAGGCAUGACUCUGAAAUCAGCUGAAUCAUGGAGCCUAUAUACUGGAAGAGGAGGGAAGGCUGUAAGGUGCAGAGAAGAGCAGGCUUAAAGGCAGAGGAUUUAAGAGAUAGAGGAUGAGUUGCACGAAAUGGAGAGAUCCUACUGAAACCAGAUUGCUCGUCUUCUGAAGACAAUCUUUGCCAAGGUCUUGCUGUUUUUCACAGCUCUUAAGGAAGAAAAUCCAAAAUUCAUUGUGAUGUGAUGCCCAGGAUACCAACUGACCCAUUUGACAGUCUUGAUGAGCCAUCUGUUUUUGUUGUAGCCAAAAUCUUCUCAUCACAGCAUCCUAUGG